UACGGGGGGGGCAAGCGUUGCUCGGAAUUACUGGGUGUAAAGGGUUCGUAGGCGGUGUGGCAAGUCGGGAGUGAAAUCCCUGGGCUUAACCCAGGGGCUGCUUCUGAAACUGCCGUGCUAGAGUGUGGGAGAGGCGCGUGGAAUUGCAGGUGUAGCGGUGAAAUGCGUAGAUAUCUGCAGGAACACCCGUGGCGAAAGCGGCGCGCUGGACCACUACUGACGCUGAGGAACGAAAGCUAGGGGAGCAAACAGG
rnacentral:rRNA from 1 species